rnacentral:rRNA from 1 species
CCUACGGGAUGCAGCAGUGAGGAAUAUUGGUCAAUGGCCGCAAGGCUGAACCAGCCAAGUCGCGUGAGGGAAGACGGUUCUAUGGUUUGUAAACUUCUUUUUUCGGGGAGCAAAGGACUCCACGUGUGGCUUUUUGAGUGUACCCUAUGACUAAGCAUCGGCUAACUCCGUGCCAGCAGCCGCGGUAAUCCGGAGGAUGCGGGCGUUAUCCGGAUUUAUUGGGUUUAAGGGGUGCGAAGGGGGUAUAUUAAGUCAGCGGUAAAAUUUAGUGGCUAAACCUGAUCGUGCCGUUGAAACUGGGUGUCUUGAGUGUGUGUGAAGUAGGCGGAAUGCGUGGUGUAGCGGUGAAAUGCAUAGAUAUCACGAAGAACUCCGAUUGCGAAGGCAGCAUACCGACGCUCCACUGACGCUGAUGCACGAAAGUGUGGGUAUCGAACAGGAUUAGAUACCCUUGUAGUC